rnacentral:rRNA from 1 species
AUUGAACGCUAGCGGGAUGCUUUACACAUGCAAGUCGAACGCGUGGCGGACGGGUGAGUAAUAUAUCGGAACGUUCCCAGUAGCGGGGGUUAACUACUCGAAAGAGUGGCUAAUCCCGCAUACUAUUGGAGUGUCCGAUAUGCGAUUAGCUAGUUGGUGGGGUAAAGGCUCACCAAGGCCACGAUCCGUAGCUGGUUUGAGAGGUCGACCGGCCACACUGGGACUGAGAAACGGCCCAGACGCCUACGGGAGGCAGCAGUGGGGAAUUUUGUGCAAUGGGGGAAACCCUGAUCCAGCCAUCCCGCGUGUAUGAGAAGGCCUUCGGGGUGUAAAGUACUGUUGGCAGAGAAGCGGUAUCUGAAGAAUAAGCACCGGCUAACUACGUGCCAGCAGCCGCGGUAAUAC